CCCCGGUAAACGGCGGCCGUAACUAUAACGGUCCUAAGGUAGCGAAAUUCCUUGUCGGGUAAGUUCCGACCUGCACGAAUGGCGUAAUGAUGGCCAGGCUGUCUCCACCCGAGACUCAGUGAAAUUGAACUCGCUGUGAAGAUGCAGUGUACCCGCGGCAAGACGGAAAGACCCCGUGAACCUUUACUAUAGCUUGACACUGAACAUUGAGCCUUGAUGUGUAGGAUAGGUGGGAGGCUUUGAAGUGUGGACGCCAGUCUGCAUGGAGCCGACCUUGAAAUACCACCCUUUAAUGUUUGAUGUUCUAACGUGGACCCGUAAUCCGGGUUGCGGACAGUGUCUGGUGGGUAGUUUGACUGGGGCGGUCUCCUCCUAAAGAGUAACGGAGGAGCACGAAGGUUGGCUAAUCCUGGUCGGACAUCAGGAGGUUAGUGCAAUGGCAUAAGCCAGCUUGACUGCGAGCGUGACGGCGCGAGCAGGUGCGAAAGCAGGUCAUAGUGAUCCGGUGGUUCUGAAUGGAAGGGCCAUCGCUCAACGGAUAAAAGGUACUCCGGGGAUAACAGGCUGAUACCGCCCAAGAGUUCAUAUCGACGGCGGUGUUUGGCACCUCGAUGUCGGCUCAUCACAUCCUGGGGCUGAAGUAGGUCCCAAGGGUAUGGCUGUUCGCCAUUUAAAGUGGUACGCGAGCUGGGUUUAGAACGUCGUGAGACAGUUCGGUCCCUAUCUGCCGUGGGCGCUGGAGAACUGAGGGGGGCUGCUCCUAGUACGAGAGGACCGGAGUGGACGCAUCACUGGUGUUCGGGUUGUCAUGCCAAUGGCACUGCCCGGUAGCUAAAUGCGGAAGAGAUAAGUGCUGAAAGCAUCUAAGCACGAAACUUGCCCCGA
rnacentral:rRNA from 35 species